AAAAGAGAGUCAAAGAA
rnacentral:sRNA from 1 species